AUUGAACGCUGGCGGCAUGCCUUACACAUGCAAGUCGAACGGCAGCACGGGAGCAAUCCUGGUGGCGAGUGGCGAACGGGUGAGUAAUAUAUCGGAACGUGCCCAGUCGGGGGGGAUAACGUAGCGAAAGCUACGCUAAUACCGCAUACGAUCUAUGGAUGAAAGCGGGGGAUCGCAAGACCUCGCGCGAUUGGAGCGGCGGAUAUCAGAUUAGGUAGUUGGUGAGGUAAAGGCUCACCAAGCCGACGAUCUGUAGCUGGUCUGAGAGGACGACCAGCCACACGGGGACUGAGACACGGCCCAGACUCCUACGGGAGGCGGCAGUGGGGAAUUUUGGACAAUGGGCGCAAGCCUGAUCCAGCAAUGCCGCGUGCAGGAUGAAGGCCUUCGGGUUGUAAACUGCUUUUGUACGGAGCGAAAAGGCUUCCACUAAUACUGGGGGCUCAUGACGGUACCGUAAGAAUAAGCACCGGCUAACUACGUGCCAGCCGCCGCAGUAACAC
rnacentral:rRNA from 1 species